GGGCUUGUACUGGUUUCGACGGGGGCUUCGAAGGCGGGGAAGCCAUCCGCAGCCGCCCGGACUGCGUAAUAACCGGACACUUAAAUAUAAACGCUGAAGAUAAUUUCGCGUUAGCAGCAUAAUUGUUGCUCGUCGGCCUUUAUGCACUCACACGUUUAGUAACCGGCGUCAAAAAAUGUGAGAAACCUUGCCGGGUAAGCUUUGCCCCGGCAGAUGUAUCAUGAAGCUACUGAAACGGUAAGCCUGUCGAUGGGCGUAUCGCAGAGGGAAUGUAAGAUCACCGACUAUGAUGGAAGAAGCCCGGUGGACAGGCUUUCGGACGCGGGUUCGAUUCCCGCCAGGUCCAU
rnacentral:tmRNA from 1 species